rnacentral:rRNA from 1 species
UCUAAACGACUCUCGGCAACGGAUAUCUCGGCUCUCGCAUCGAUGAAGAACGUAGCGAAAUGCGAUACUUGGUGUGAAUUGCAGAAUCUCGUGAACCAUCGAGUCUUUGAACGCAAGUUGCGCCCGAAGCCAUUANGUUGAGGGCACGCCUGCCUGGGCGUCAU